GGAGGGUAAGGAGGGAACUGGAAACUGGGCAUGGCUGGACCUGCUUGAGAUAGGGAGGGAGGGCCCAGAGAAGCAAAGUAUUCCUUCCUGGGGUCUCCUAGCCCUGACCUGUCGGGAAGGGCUGUUUUGUGGAGAGGAGAAGGCUGCUGGGAAGAGGCUCUGCUGUCAGGAUGGAGGUCCUGAGAGAGAAAGUGGAGGAGGAGGAGGAGGCUGAGCGUGAAGAAGCAGCCGAGAGGGCCGAACGGACUGAGAAGCUGGAGAGGGUGACAAAGUCCGCCGAAGUGAGCAGAGAGGGGACCAUCCUGAGCCAGGAUGAGCUUCGAGACCUGGAGGGGAAGCUGAUGGCCAUCGAGAUCCCUACCCAAGCUGAUCACUCGGUCAUAAGCCAGGCCCCUGUUGAUGUCACCAAGCUGCCUCCUUCCUAUACCACCAACUCAUUGAAGGAGGAGCACCUGCUGCUGGUGGCAGACAACUUCUCCCGCCAGUACAGCCACCUGUGUCCAGACCGCGUGCCUCUCUUCUUGCACCCGUUAAAUGAGUGCAAUGUGCCUAAGUUCGUGAGCACCACCCUGAGGCCCACACUGAUGCCCUACCCUGAACUCUACAACUGGGACAGCUGCGCCCAGUUUGUAUCUGACUUCCUCACCAUGGUCCCACUGGUUGAUCCCCUCAAGCCGCCCACGCACUUAUAUUCCUCGACCACCGUGCUCAAGUGCCAGAAGGGAAACUGCUUUGACUUCAGCACCCUGCUCUGCUCCAUGUUGAUUGGCUCCGGCUAUGAUGCCUACUGCGUCAAUGGCUAUGGCUCACUGGACCUGUGCCUCAUGGACCUGACAAGGGAAGUGUGUCCGCUCACUGUGAAGGCCAAAGAGAUAGUCAAGAAGAAAGAGAAGACGGUGCCUAAGAAAUACUCCAUCAAGCCGCCCCGGGACCUGACCAGCAAGUUUGAGCAGGAGCAAGAGGAGAAGAGAAUACAGGAGAUCAAGGAUCUAGAACAAAGGCGACUUAAGGAAGAGGAAGAUCGCAUCCUGGAGGCAGAGAAAGCGAAGCCCGACCCCCUGCAUGGCCUGCGGGUACACUCCUGGGUCCUGGUGCUGGCAGGAAAGCGAGAGGUGCCUGAGAGCUUCUUCAUCGACCCUCUGACUGCACGCAGCUACAGUACCAAGGAUGAGCACUUCCUGGGCAUUGAGAGCCUCUGGAACCACAAGAACUACUGGAUCAACAUGCAGGAUUGCUGGAACUGCUGCAAGGACUUGAUCUUCGACCUGGGAGACCCUGUAAGAUGGGAGUACAUGCUCUUGGGGACCGAUAAGCCUCACCUGUCCUUGACUGAGGAGGAUGAAGAAGGGCUGGAUGAUGAUGAUGAUGAUGUGGAAGACCUGGGCAAAGAAGAGGAGGAUAAGAGCUUUGACAUGCCGUCUUCGUGGGUCUCCCAGAUUGAGAUCACCCCAGAAGAGUUUGAGACCCGUUGUCCCAGUGGGAAGAAAGUGAUACAGUACAAGAAGGCACAGCUGGAGAAGUGGUCCCCAUACCUCAACAACAACGGCCUGGUGUGUCGCCUCACCACCUACGAGGACCAACAGUGCACAAAGGUUCUAGAGAUAAAGGAGUGGUACCAGAACCGGGAGGAUAUGCUAGAGCUGAAGCACAUCAACAAGACCACAGGCCUGCACGUGGACUACUUCAAGCCAGGCCAUCCCCAAGCUCUGUGUGUGCACUCAUACAAGUCUAUGCUACCUGAGAUGGACCGCGUCAUGGAGUUCUAUAAAAAAAUCCGUGUGGAUGGCCUGGUGAAGCGGGAGGAGACGCCCAUGACAAUGACCGAGUACUAUGAAGGGCGCUCCGACUUCCUUGCCUAUCGGCACGUCAAUUUUGGACCCAGAGUCAAGAAGCUCAGCCAGAGCAGCGUGGAGUCGAACCCAAGGCCCAUGGUGAAAAUCACAGAGCGGUUCUCCCGCAAUCCAGAGAAGCCCGCGGAUGAGGACGUGGCAGAGCGUUUGUUUCUGAUAGUGGAAGAGCGCAUCCAGCUUCGCUACCAUUGCCGCGACGACUACAUCACCGCAUCCAAGCGAGAGUUCCUGCGGCGCAUGGAGGUCGACAGCAAGGGAAACAAGAUCAUCAUGACACCAGAAAUGUGCAUCAGCUACGAGAGAAGGAUCCUGGGGUCUGGAGAGGUUAAGCACCUUGCUUGAGGCCACACAGCUAGAAAAAAGGGAGUAGAUUUAAACCAAGUGGUCCCUAGACCUGCCCUGGCGCAGCUUCCCUGUCACCGUGGUGGUUCUGGUCUCAGGUAGAGCCGAUGGAGCACACUAAGAAACUCCUCUACCAGUACGAGACCAUGAAUCAGCUGAAGAACGAAGAAAAGCUGUCCCGACAUCAGGCCUGGGAGUCGGAGCUGGAGGUGCUGGAGAUUUUGAAGCUCCGUGAAGAGGAGGAGGAGGCACACACGCUGACCAUCUCCAUCUACGACACCAAGCGCAACGAGAAGAGCAAAGAGUAUCGGGAGGCCAUGGAGCGCGUCUUGCAUGAGGAGCACCUGCGGCAGGUGGAGGCCCAGCUGGACUACCUGGCCCCAUUCCUGGCCCAGCUCCCUCCAGGCGAGAAGCUAACCCGUUGGCAGGCGGUGCGUCUCAAGGACGAGUGUCUCAGCGACUUCAAGCAGCGGCUCAUCGACAAGGCUAACCUCAUCCAGGCUCGCUUUGAGAAGGAGACCCAGGAGCUGCAGAAGAAGCAGCAAUGGUACCAGGAGAACCAGGUAACCCUGACGCCGGAGGAUGAAAACCUGUACCUGAGCUACUGUUCUCAGGCCAUGUUCCGCAUCCGAAUCUUGGAACAGCGGCUCAAUCGGCACAAAGAGCUGGCUCCACUGAAGUACCUGGCGCUGGAGGAAAAGCUCUACAAAGACCCACGCUUAAUAGACUUCGUAAAAGUCUUUGUUUGAUGGCCCCUCCUGGAACUACGGCAGACCCUGCCAGAGAAUGGAGUCUCUCCCUUCUCCCCAACCACUAUGAUCCUAUACUAGCCUCGCUGCCACACUACCUCCCUAUCCCUCAUAGCCUCCCUCAAAUAAAUGCAUUUCCUGUUUGCCAUUUA